rnacentral:rRNA from 1 species
CGGACGGGUGAGUAACGCGUGGGUAACCUACCCUGUACACACGGAUAACAUACCGAAAGGUAUGCUAAUACAGGAUAAUAUAUUUGAGAGGCAUCUCUUGAAUAUCAAAGGUGAGCCAGUACAGGAUGGACCCGCGUCUGAUUAGCUAGUUGGUAAGGUAACGGCUUACCAAGGCGACGAUCAGUAGCCGACCUGAGAGGGUGAUCGGCCACAUUGGAACUGAGACACGGUCCAA